AAACACUAGAGGAUUUGCUUGAGUGGAAAGCAGCACUUGAGGAGGCUUUGGCAAGUGCACCAAGUGCUGAUCCUGUAACUACCCAAAAUGGAGUAUCUAGGAAUGAUCAGGGAAAUGCAGUUGACCAUUCAUCAGAGCAGUCAAAUGAAAGAGAGCCUGUGAAGUCCUUGGUCCUUGGUCAGCCAGUUUUACUUGCUUUGGAAGAUAUUGAUGGAACCCCAUCAUUCUUGGAGAAGGCCCUUAGGUUCAUAGAAGAGCAUGGAGUGAGAGUUGAAGGUAUCUUGCGGCAAGCAGCAGAUGUUGAAAAUGUCGAACGUCGGAUACGGGAAUAUGAACAGGG